UGGGGAAUAUUGCACAAUGGGCGCAAGCCUGAUGCAGCCAUGCCGCGUGUAUGAAGAAGGCCUUCGGGUUGUAAAGUACUUUCAGCAGUGAGGAAGGGGAUAUCGUUAAUAGCGGUAUUCUUUGACGUUAGCUGCAGAAGAAGCACCGGCUAACUCCGUGCCAGCAGCCGCGGUAAUACGGAGGGUGCGAGCGUUAAUCGGAAUUACUGGGCGUAAAGCGCAUGCAGGUGGUUUGUUAAGUCAGAUGUGAAAGCCCGGGGCUCAACCUCGGAAUUGCAUUUGAAACUGGCAGGCUAGAGUACUGUAGAGGGGGGUAGAAUUUCAGGUGUAGCGGUGAAAUGCGUAGAGAUCUGAAGGAAUACCGGUGGCGAAGGCGGCCCCCUGGACAGAUACUGACACUCAGAUGCGAAAGCGUGGGGAGCAAACAGG
rnacentral:rRNA from 1 species